GGGCCCGCACAAGCGGAGGAACAUGUGGUUUAAUUCGAUGAUACGCGAGGAACCUUACCCGGGCUCGAACGGCAAUUGACGAUAUAUGAAAGUAUAUUUCUAGCAAUAGCAAUUGUCGAGGUGCUGCAUGGUUGUCGUCAGCUCGUGCCGUGAGGUGUCGGCUUAAGUGCCAUAACGAGCGCAACCCUUAUCUUUAGUUACCAUCAGGUUAAGCUGGGGACUCUGAAGAGACUGCCACCGUAAGGUGUGAGGAAGGUGGGGAUGACGUCAAAUCAGCACGGCCCUUACGUCCGGGGCGACACACGUGUUACAAUGGGGGGGACAGCAGGUUGCUACACAGCGAUGUGAUGCUAAUCCUUAAUAAACCCUCUCCCAGUUCGGAUCGGAGUCUGCAACUCGACUCCGUGAAGCUGGAUUCGCUAGUAAUCGCGCAUCAGCCAUGGCG
rnacentral:rRNA from 1 species